CGAGGGGAUUAGUUAUUAAUCGUUGUGUGCUUAUGCAUAGGUAUAGUAAUAUAUCUGUUCGGCGUGAUGAUGGACAGUGUAUCUGUUCGGUGUGACUCGGUUGUUUUAGGCUAUCAUUUCGAUCAUGCUGCACAUAUACAGUAUGGUAUUGAAGGAAUAAGCAAAAUAAAUGUCCUGAGAUUGAGUUAUUAAUGAUCUAUUUUGGUCGAUGGGAUCCUAAAUGUUUUAGGUUUUGGUCAAUUGUACGCAUGAUGCAGCAACCUUUAAUAAUUCAAGAUGUGAGUUUAAUAUUGCGCUGUACUCUAACAAGCUAAGUUUCUGGAGUAAUUGGUUGUGCAUGUAAUUUAUUUAACACUUCACUCGGAGAAGUAGGAGUAGAGAAAUCGCACAACAAGUCGGUGUUUGCUUUGAGUGGGUUAUCAUGAUGAACAUGAUUCCGCCAGGGGUUUCUUAUAAUGUUACUACUUGCCUCUCUAAUGGAACUUCAUUUUCUUUCAUGAUCUCUCCAGCUGCUUUACUCAGUUCGAAUCUGAUAUCUCUGGUCGAUUUGUCGGCUUUUCUUAUCAUGCAGUUCGAUGGUUCAAAAGCAGAUUGUAUUCCUAUGCCCCCUCUACGUCUCUUUUACUCGUGCUGUCUACGUCCCCUCUACUUGAGCCAUUGAAAAUGUGCUGGAAGCACUCCACUUCAUUAUGCUGCUUGUGGUGGAAGUGUGCAGUGUUGUCAGAAGAACGGCUUUGAGCAAUUCUGCAUAAGUUAUGCAAAUGAGAGGUUGCAACAACAUUUCAACCGGCAUUUGUUAAAACUGGAGCAGGAAGUGAGCAUCUCACAUGGACCGUGUCUUUAGUUUUGUUCAGUAUUUUAUAUGAUGGGGAUUGUCGCUAAAAGCAGGAUAUUCUUUUUUGAUUCAGAUCUGUCGUCAUUAUUUAUUUUGCAAGAUUAUUUAUUCUCUCAUUAUGUGUACUAUAAAGAAAAAUAUUUAUGUCAUUCUUGUGGAAAAUGUAGAUGA